UACGAAGGGGGCUAGCGUUGUUCGGAAUCACUGGGCGUAAAGCGCACGUAGGCGGAUCUUUAAGUCAGGGGUGAAAUCCCGAGGCUCAACCUCGGAACUGCCUUUGAUACUGGGGAUCUCGAGUCCGGGAGAGGUGAGUGGAACUGCGAGUGUAGAGGUGAAAUUCGUAGAUAUUCGCAAGAACACCAGUGGCGAAGGCGGCUCACUGGCCCGGUACUGACGCUGAGGCACGAAAGCGUGGGGAGCAAACAGG
rnacentral:rRNA from 1 species